AGUAUGCCGAUGAAUAUUUUAUCGGGCUCUUUGCCUCCUGCAUUGUUAAUAUUGUGGCAAAGUCUUUUACAGAGCGCUCCUGACAAGUUAAUGUGUGCAUGUUUCUGCUUCCAGCUGUGAUGGAAUUUAACCCACCCAAAUACUACCAAAAAAACCCCAGAGAAGUGCCUACAGCAUGAAUGCGUGUAGUCCCAUGAACACUGAUCCCCCUUUCAGUAAAGCCAAAGAGAAGCUGGACUUUCGUUCAGUUGGCCAUGAUGACGACUCACGCUGAAGUCUUUCUUAGUGCUGUGAGAACGAAUCUCUGUUUUAAAUUAAGUGUGUAUUUACUGACCUCUGUUAAUCUCAAGUUACCCAACGUGGGGCUGCCUGUUUAAUCCAGUGAAAAAAGUUCAAACACAGCCACAGUCAUGACACCGUUAUCAGGAACCGAGCGGAUAUGAACUUAAUCCCUCCCACGCUCCAUUAAUCUUUUAUUAAAAAGUCUCCAUUUAGCUCUGGUUCUCUGAAGAUAACAGUGUCACGCUGCAGGUCUCACGUUAGCUUGUGUUACUGUCAAGUGACCACAGCAGCAUGAACAGUCUUUUCUGUUCAAAGCUGUCAAACCCCUUUUAAUUGAUGUUGGUUUGAUUUUGUAUAA